rnacentral:rRNA from 1 species
UGGGGAAUAUUGCACAAUGGGCGCAAGCCUGAUGCAGCCAUGCCGCGUGUAUGAAGAAGGCCUUCGGGUUGUAAAGUACUUUCAGUCGGGAGGAAGGUGUCAAGGUUAAUAACCUUGGCAAUUGACGUUACCGACAGAAGAAGCACCGGCUAACUCCGUGCCAGCAGCCGCGGUAAUACGGAGGGUGCAAGCGUUAAUCGGAAUUACUGGGCGUAAAGCGCACGCAGGCGGUUGAUUGAGUCAGAUGUGAAACCCCCGGGCUUAACCCGGGAAUUGCAUCUGAUACUGGUCAGCUAGAGUCUUGUAGAGGGGGGUAGAAUUCCAUGUGUAGCGGUGAAAUGCGUAGAGAUGUGGAGGAAUACCGGUGGCGAAGGCGGCCCCCUGGACAAAGACUGACGCUCAGGUGCGAAAGCGUGGGGAGCAAACAGG